AAAAAUCGCAGCUGGCAUAUGUCAGAAUUGUGUGGCAAGUACUCAAGCUUGAGCUCAAGUAUUUGUCGGUUUAUCACUCUGUCUGUCUGUCUCAGUCACCUGUCCAUGACUAUGGCUAACUAUUCAAUUAUGAGCAACAACAGCUUUGCAAGACGAUCUUUUAGACGCACGUGUCUCCACUCGAAGACUUCUUCUCGUCUUCUCGAGUCGUCGUGGGUGGACACAAGAUACCUUGCCACUUAAUACGAUUUCAGCAGAUAAGACAUUGGCGACUUGCAAGUCAUUUUGUUGUGCAAAAUAUCCACAACACACACACACAAAAAUUAAAGUGCACAAUUGAAUUACAUUUAGUUGCGCAGGUAUUCAAACUAUUUAUAACAAAUUCAAUUCAAUUUGCAGUUAUAUUUAUUUCUAUUGAAAUUCGCUGGCGAAUCACGAAUCAAUUCGAAUUGAAUAAUAAAUUCAUAUGCAUGACAUUUAACAGAAAUUCAACACUCACUUCACACACACACACACACAAAAACAAAUUUAAACACAAAGCUGACCUUGAGGUCCAGAGCAUUUACAUUUAGAUGCGAUUACAGAUUCGCUUGCUGCACAAGUGGAGCAACAAAAAAAAAA